UACGUAGGGGGCAAGCGUUGUCCGGAUUUACUGGGCGUAAAGCGCGCGUAGGCGGAACGAUCAGUCCGGUCUGAAAUCCCCGGGCUCAACCUGGGAAUGGCGAUGGUGACUGCAAGGCUAGAGUUUGGCAGAGGGGGGUAGAAUUCCACGUGUAGCAGUGAAAUGCGUAGAUAUGUGGAGGAACACCGAUGGCGAAGGCAGCCCCCUGGGUCAAAACUGACGCUCAUGCACGAAAGCGUGGGGAGCGAACAGG
rnacentral:rRNA from 1 species